GGGUGCGUUGUUGCAUAAAGCACGGCGCAGGUUAAAAGCCAAGCAUUGGUCGGGCCGCCAAUG
ncrna:Pseudomonas sp. CF150 nhaA-I RNA